AACGCGAAGAACCUUACCAGCCCUUGACAUGUCCCGUACGGGGCCGAGAGAUCGGCCUCAUCAGUUCGGCUGGCGGGAACACAGGUGCUGCAUGGCUGUCGUCAGCUCGUGUCGUGAGAUGUUGGGUUAAGUCCCGCAACGAGCGCAACCCUCACCUUCAGUUGCCAUCAGGUUAAGCUGGGCACUCUGAAGGAACUGCCGGUGACAAGCCGGAGGAAGGCGGGGAUGACGUCAAGUCCUCAUGGCCUUUAUGGGCUGGGCUACACACGUGCUACAAUGGCGGUGACAGAGGGAGGCAAAGGGGCGACCCCUAGCCAAUCUCGAAAAGCCGUCUCAGUUCGGAUUGUUCUCUGCAACUCGAGAGCAUGAAGCUGGAAUCGCUAGUAAUCGCGGAUCAGCACGCCGCGGUGAAUACGUUCCCGGGCCUUGUA
rnacentral:rRNA from 1 species